ACUUCAUAACAGUGAAAAUGAGAGCUGGUUGUAUAUUCGAGUGGAUUUGAGACAGAGUCCGGAAGACCGUGAAAGGGCCAUCUUGGCUUUCUACAAAAGGCCAAAUGUACAAUGGGCAAGCCCCUUAUCAGUAUAUCUUGAAGGUAUGCUUUUUUCCCAUCCAUUUUGUGUAAUGUCCAGAUUCCUUGUGGAGAGUGCCAUUUUCCAAGCAGUGGGCCACAUGACUGAUCAUUGCUUUCUGCAUGUGGGUCCACCGCUAACAGGAUUGAGUCCAGCUGUGGUGUGCAUAUUAACUGGCGGUGAGGAAGAAUGUGCUCCUCUGCACAAGACUGCCUUGAUAUGGAUGUACGUGAAGUAGUGGAAAUGCUGGACAGCCAAAAGGAGCUUACACAGGAAGAUAAGGACAAAAUGUCUGACAUUAUUUUGAACUGGGAUCUUCCACCUGUCACUCAAGAAAACAGACGAUGGCUGGCAGAAAAAAUCCUCCUUCAUGCAAAUUGCCUGACCUUCAUCCUCCACUUCAGACAGUGAAGAUGAGACUGAGUGUAGCAUCGAUAGCAAGUGUCGUGUUGCUAGCUUUUUUCGACAAUUCAUUGAAAAUGCCUCAUCUGCAGAGCUGAGUGACCUCCUAAAAUUCUGGAUAGGAUGGGCAAUUUAACCGCAACAUCUUAAUGUGGAGGUGACCAGUGACAUAAAGAUGUCUACAGCGGCUACAUGUAUGGAAACUAUCAAGCUACCUGGGCAUUACACAGAAUAUUCACAUUUUUCCACUGACCUCAAAUCUGCUGUUUGCACUACGGAUAGUGGAUUUGGACUUGUGUAAGGCUGUAUUCACUAUAGGUGAAGUAUUAAACAAGCAGAAAAACAUGUAUGCAUUGAAAUGCUCCCUGAUUUAACUAAUUGUGUUAA